rnacentral:lncRNA from 1 species
UUUUUUUUUUUUUCUUUUACUUUUCUUUUUAGGGCCACACUUGGAGCAUAAGGAAGUUCUGGAGCUAGGGGUCAAAUUGGAGCUGUAGCUGCUGACCUACACCACAGCCACAGCCACAGCCACAGCCACACUGGAUUCGAGCUGCAUAUGUGACCUCUACCAUAGUUUGCAGCAGUACUGGAUCCUUAACUCACUGAGCAAGGCCAGGGAUCAAACCCGAAUCCUGACAGACACUACGUCGGGUUCUUAACCUGCUGAGCUACUAUGGGAACUCCAGUGAUGACUUUUUUGGAACUGAGUAUAGUGGCUCAUGUUUAAAUUUAUUUAUUUAUUAUCAAUUUAUGUAUUUUUAUAGUCCCUCCCCAAUCAGAGUCUACUUUAUACUAGAUCAAGAUCAACAGAAUCAAGUCUAUAGAAAGUAGAAAUAUCUAUUCUCUAGUGUUUCUCACCUUUUUUUGUUUUUUAUUUUUUUAAUUGAAGUAUAGGUGAUUUAUAGUGUUAUGCCAGUUUCUGCUGUAUAGCAAAGCGAUCCAGUCAUACACAUACAUUCAUACCCUUUCUUAUAUUAUCUUCCAUCAUGGUCUAUCUCAAGAGAUUGGAUAUAGUUCCCCGUGCUGUACAGUAGGACCUCAUUGCUUAUCCAUUCUAAGUGUAAUAGUUUACAUCUACUAAUCCCAAACUCCCAGUCCAUCCCAUCUUCCCCUUGGCAACCACAGGUCUGUUCUCUAUGUCUGUGAGUGUGAGUCUGUUUCUGUUCUUUGGAUAGGCUGAUUUGUGCCAUAUUUUAGAUUCCACAAAUAAGUGAUAUCAUGUAGUAUUUGUAUUUCUCUUUCUGACUUAUUUCACUUGUAUGAUAAGCUCUAGUUGCAUCCAUGUUGCUGCAAAUGACAUUAUUUUGUUCUUUGUCAUUCCUCAGUAGUAUUCCAUCAUGUAUACUACCACAGCUUCUUAAUCCAUUCAUCUGCCGAUGGACAUUUAGGUUGCUUCCAUGUCUUGGCCAUUGUGAAUAGUGCUGCUAUGAACAUAUGGGUGCAUGUAUCUUUUUUUUUUUUUUUGUCUUUUUGCCAUUUUUUGGGCCGCUCCCGCGGCAUAUGGAGGUUCCCAGGCUAGGGGUCGAAUCGGAGCUGAAGCCACCAGCCUAUGCCAGAGCCACAGCAACGCGGGAUCCGAGCCGCGUCUACAACCUACACCACAGCUCACGGCAACGCUGGAUCGUCAACCCAUUGAGCAAGGGCAGGGACCGAACCCGCAACCUCAUGGUUCCUAGUCGGAUUCGUUAACCACUGCACCACGACGGGAACUCCGGGUGCAUGUAUCUUUUUUAAAAUUUGUUAUAGUGAUUUUAAAAUUUUUUUCCAUUACAGCUGGUUUGCAUGUAUCUUUUUGAAUUUUAGUUUUGUCUGAAUAUAUGCCCAGGAGUGGGGUUUCUGGGUCAUACAGUAGUGCUCUAUUUAGUUUUAUUAAGAAACUCCAUAUUGUUUUCCACAGUGGUUGUACCAAUUUACAUUCCCACAAACAGUGUAAGAAGGUUCCUUUUUCUCCACACCCUCUCUAGCAUUUGUUAUUUAUAGACUGAUUAAUGAUGACCAUUCUGACCAGUGUGAGGUGGUACCUCAUAGUUUUGACUUACAUUUCUCUAAUAAUCAGUGAUAGCAUUUUUUCAUUUGCCUGUUGGCUAUCCGUAUGUCUUCUCUACAGAAAUGUCUAUUUAGGUCUUCUGCCCAUUUUUUGAUUGUGUUUUGUUGUUGUUGUUGAGUUGUAUGAGUUGUCUGUAUUUUUUUGGAGAUUAAGCUCUUGUCAGCUGCACCAUCUGCAACUAUUUUCCCCCAUUCCAUAGGUUGUUUUUUCAUUGUCUUUUUUUUUUUUUUAUGAUUUCCUUUGCUGUGCAAAAACUGUAUUUCACCAUUAAGAACAAACAAAAACUCCUCUUUCAGUUAAUACAAAAAUGCCAGCUCCUACAGAAAUCCAUUUUCCUACUAUUCAAGGAGAUUUUAUCAAGCUUUAUUUUCUUUAGUUGUAAUGUGAAAAUUGCUGAAUAGACAAUCAAAAUCUCUUAGUAUUGGCUUUUAAACAGUCUCUUGGAUGACUCAGUCAUGAGGGUAGAAAGAUACUCAGAAGAUACUCAGUGAUAGGUGGUUAAGUGACAGGAUGCAGGAUUCUGGGCCAGUAGGGGAAAGGGGCCUCCACUCCAGGUGGUGUCCAGGAUCCUUCAUGGUCACUGCUGUGGAAGGAGUAGUUUGGUCCUAUCCGUGAACUCUUAGUGCGGAUGUUCAUUCCUCUCUGGCCAUUUGGAGUAUUGUGCUGCCGCCACUGAUGGAGUUAAAUGGCUUUGCCCAUUUCCUUUUAGUCAUGAAGUUUCCACACAGCUCUUUGUUCCAGCACAGGCCUCUAUUUAAUGAUGUGCUGCUAAAUAUUUUACAACUGGCUGUCACCAAAUUACCUCAUGUCCUUAGGCUCUUAACUUCUCAGGGUACUCCCAAGCGUGUUUCUUUUGGAUCUACCUGUUAUUCUGGCUAUGCCCCCAUGGACCCUUUUGAAUCUCUGGCUGCCAUGAAAGAGAACUCAAAGAUCUCAUAGUGUUUUCUCUCUGGUCUCUAGGUAAGUAGCAAUGAGAGCCUUCUGGGUAGCCAGAAGUGAACAGCAACUCUGGAGAGUUACACUGAGUAGAUUCAUGGUGGUUUCCCACCCCCACCUCCAUAGCCCCCUUUUCAGGCAACACUGUCACUGGCCAAGUCAGAGAGAAGCUAGAAGAACAGAAAACUUUGUUUUCUCUCCUGACCUCAGUCUCCAGUAGCCACAUACCCAUGUUAAUCAACUCUCUACACUUUUUCAACAAAUAAUUGUCUUUCAUGUACAAAGUAUUCACUGGGUAUUUCAGGCAGUGUAAUAGUGAACAAACCACUAUCCUCAUUUGUUUUUUAAGAUUAUAAUUUGGAAUAGAAGAUGAGAUGUAUACACAUAAUAUGAUUUUUAAUGUUGCCAUCUUACUUUUUAAAGAUAAUGAAUCAAACCUCUUGUGUGGUGUUACACCUCAGAUUCUAUGCAAGCAUCUCUCAUAGCUCAAGAGCAGUUUGCAUUUGUAUGGGCAAAUUGUAAUUUCAAAGGAUAGAUGUCAAUUACCUUUAAAAGAUAUAUAGACAAAACAUGAAAAAAAUGAAAAUGGUUCAUUUGUUAGGGUAGUGAAAUUAUGAGUGACUUUUCCCAAUUGUUUUGAUAUACAUAACCAUUAUAUAAUGAGGUUUAUUGAUUUUUUUAUAUAUUUAAAAAGGGUAAAAAUUGUUGUCAUCAGCAACCUAGACCCAGAGACUUGUUCACAAGUUAGCUGAUUCCUAGUUCAUCUCUGAACUAAUCUGAGAAUCUGAAAAUUCUAUAAGGUCCCACAGAACACUGCCAGCUUUACUUGGUCAUAGCAACAUAUUUUUUAACUAUGUUGAGAGUGUUUUAUAACAUGAAAUCUAGUUUUAAAAUGGUCUUAGAAGUUCCCAUUGUAGCUCUGCGGGUUAAGGACCCAACAUUUUCUCCGUGAAGAUGCGGGUUCCAUGCCUGGCAUGGCCUAUGGGUUAAGUAAGGAUCCAGUGUUGUUGUAAGCUACAGCGUAGGCCACAGUUGCACGUCCAAUUCGACCCCUGGCCCACGAAAUUCCAUGUGCUUUGGGUGCAGCCAUAAAAAUAAAUAAAUAAAUAAAUAAAUAAAUAAAUAAAUAAAUAAAUAAAGUAAAAUAAAAUAAAAUGGUAUUAAACCUUUGAAAAGUGA